rnacentral:lncRNA from 1 species
AUGGGAUCUACUUUUGCUCCUAUUUCUUAAAGUUUAUAGGAUUUUGGUUAGUGGUGUUGAGAUGCAGAUUCAUUACUCUGUCACUCAGUUUAUCACAGCUGGGACCUGCCACUCACUAUGAAGUUUUUGGCGGAUAUACAACAUUACAUCAUUCUGUUGUUUUUGUAUUCUUAUAUGUAAAUUGCACUAUUAGGUAAUAACUCAGAAACAAAAGAAAUACUAAUGACAAAGUACACGGUUAUCACUGAGGACCAUAAGUGUGAUACUAAUUCUCCAAGUCUCAGACUGAUCCCUCUCCAGGUUCAUCAGAUACAAUCAUCAAAUCAAACUUUUAAAUAGUAUAUCCAAAUGUAUUGAUUUUUAAAAAAUCAAAUUUAAAUACCAAACUGUUGCAAGGAUUACAGCCACUAGGGCCUUUCAAUUAUUGGACACAACUACUCACACAUAUGUGUCAUUUGCAGGGAGGUGCUUACAACUUCUGUUACCACAUCAUUGGUAAGCACAAAAGAAAAGAGAGCAGUUGAUUUCCUCUUAUAUGUAAAGUGCGAAAAUUCAAAACACCAAUUUACGAAAGCAUUUAUCAAUUUUUGAUGCCAUAACAGUGAAAUUUUCCCCCAAAGUAGGGACGCCUGGGUGGCUCAGCUGAGAUUCUGGAUUUCUAACAAGUUUCCAGGUGCUGCUGCUGCUGCAGGUCCAGCCACAGGGGACUCCAGGUCCCUCUCCAGAGCUGGCAAGAGAAUGCUAAAUGAUGACGUUAACCUUAUUCAAUGAGUCCCUGGACUGUACAUCUCCCUGGUAGGCACGAAACACCAUCACCAUCACCAGCAACAAAGCCUCACGCUUACUCCAAAUCCGUCUGUCUGCUAUGGAAAGACACACCACCCACGGAACCAUUAUUUGAGUCUUGUCAAGCUGUGAAAGCUGUGGUUAUAUAUAAACAAAAGGCAGUUAAGAAAGAUAGAUAUACAAAUGGCAGGUGAUCAGGAAAAGCUGGCAGAAAAGGAUCCGAGAAUAUUUGCUAACUAGAAAAAAAUGUCAUAUAUUAACUCCUCUUUUUUUGUGGGUUCAGAUGAGGAUACUUGUUAAGGAAAUGUUCAUACAUUAUCUACAUUUGUAAAUGAAAAAGCCAUAUAUUUGCAUGAAAAAUGAUAUGAAUAAAUGAAUGCAAUAAACCUUAAACUGUCUUUUA